rnacentral:rRNA from 1 species
GGAUACGAUCAUACCAGCACUAAAGCACCGGAUCCCAUCAGAACUCCGAAGUUAAGCGUGCUUGGGCAAGAGUAGUACUAGGAUGGGUGACCUCCUGGGAAGUCCUCGUGUUGCAUUCC